rnacentral:rRNA from 1 species
UACAGAGGGUGCGAGCGUUAAUCGGAAUUACUGGGCGUAAAGCGCGCGUAGGCGGCUUUGCAAGUCGGGUGUGAAAUCCCCAGGCUUAACCUGGGAACUGCAUUCGGGACUGCAUUGCUAGAGUAUGGGAGAGGGCAGUGGAAUUUCCGGUGUAGCGGUGAAAUGCGUAGAUAUCGGAAGGAACAUCAGUGGCGAAAGCGACUGCCUGGACCAAUACUGACGCUCAUGUGCGAAAGCGUGGGGAGCAAACAGG